rnacentral:rRNA from 1 species
AUUCCGGUUGAUCCUGCCGGAGGUCAUUGCUAUCGGGGUCCGAUUUAGCCAUGCUAGUCGCGCGGGUUAGACCCGCGGCGUAUAGCUCAGUAACACGUGGCCAAACUACCCUACAGACGGGAACAACCUCGGGAAACUGAGGCUAACUCCCGAUACGCGUCGACUGUUUGAAUACACCGACGCUCAAACGCUCCGGCGCUGUAGGAUGUGGCUGCGGCCGAUUAGGUAGACGGUGGGGUAACGGCCCACCGUGCCAAUAAUCGGUACGGGUUGUGAGAGCAAGAGCCCGGAGACGGAAUCUGAGACAAGAUUCCGGGCCCUACGGGGCGCAGCAGGCGCGAAACCUUUACACUGCACGCCAGUGCGAUAAGGGGACCCCGAGUGAAAGGGCAUAUCGCCCUUUCUUUUCUGAACCGUAGGGAGGUUCAGGAACAAGAGCUGGGCAAGACCGGUGCCAGCCGCCGCGGUAAUACCGGCAGCUCGAGUGAUGACCGAUCUUAUUGGGCCUAAAGCGUCCGUAGCUGGCCGCGCAAGUCCGUCGGGAAAUCCACCCGCUUAACGGGUGGGCGUCCGGCGGAAACUGCACGGCUUGGGACAGGAAGGCUCGAGGGGUACGUUCGGGGUAGGAGUGAAAUCCCGUAAUCCUGAACGGACCGCCGAUGGCGAAAGCACCUCGAGAGGACUGAUCCGACAGUGAGGGACGAAAGCUGGGGUCUCGAACCGGAUUAGAUACCCGGGUAGUCCCAGCCGUAAACGAUGUUCGCUAGGUGUGACACUCACUACGAGUGAGUGUUGUGCCGCAGGGAAGCCGCUAAGCGAACCGCCUGGGAAGUACGUCCGCAAGGAUGAAACUUAAAGGAAUUGGCGGGGGAGCACUACAACCGGAGGAGCCUGCGGUUUAAUUGGACUCAACGCCGGUAACCUUACCAGCCCCGACUACGGUGAUGACGGCCAGGUUGAUGACCUCGUCACGACGCCGU